CUGAAAUGUCCCCGAGCCUCCAGCAGGAAUGUCGUUAAGAUACAAACGUGGGAAAGAUUUCACCCGGAAAGAGCAUGAGCACGGGAACUAAGGAAUACAGGAAGAUGGAAGCAAGCCUGCCUGUUAGCUGAUGUUACGGAUAUGAAUCUUCAACAACACCUGUGCUCCCAAAGACCCUUUUGUUUAAUAUGGUUCUUGAUGUAUUUUUAGAUGUGUAAAAGUUCAAAAGGUUUCCCUGGGCUCGGGUAUUUGAAGCCUGUUGUGAAAAGCAAGUUGCUUUUCUAGUAAUGAAUGCAACUAUGAGAGGUCUUAAGUACAGAGCACCCAAGAAGAGUAUAAAGACAUGCCAGGAGUUUGAAGUCCAAGAAAGAGAAUUCCUAGUAUGCAGACUGCUCUAGUGACCUUUAAGCACAGGAAGGCGUCUAGUUAUUGAGUUGUUUGACACAUUUUUGUAGUGCUGGGACCUUAUGCCUGCUAGGCAAGUGUUCAAUCAUUGAAUCACACCUGCAGAUCCCUAGAAAUGCUCUUAAUGCCUCCCAAAAGGCUAUACCUCAUUUCAGUUUUGCUUAACAUUGACAAGAGAAGGGAGAAAACACUGGAUAAGAUAGAGAACAUAGAAGGAGCUAAAGAUGGACCAAGAUAUUCCUCAAGUAAACUAAGGGUCCUGCAAGGAUCUGCAAUUGUGCUGGCUAAGAUGUUGUCUGUGUAUUUGAAGGUUGUUAUGCAUUGUUUACAUUUUCAAGCAUGUCUAUAAGGCAAGAGAUCUUGGGAUAUAACGGUAAUGAAUACCUGCUACAUCCUUCAUAGCUUGGAACUGGAAACCUGACAGGGAUAACUCGUGGAUAAAGAAAGGACAGACAGACAGACAGACAGACAGACAGAUAGAAAAAUCUGGACUGGAUGGUCUGUGCUUGCUCUGACAGAGGGCUCCUACUUCACAACCGUGGAACCCAGCAAGCUUAUUAUGUACAGCUUAAGGAGGAGGGGGAAGCUAGUCUCCAUGGAAGACCUCUGUAGUAGAGCCGUCUCAGACUAUAAACAUCAGGGAGGAGUAUGUGUUGAUCAGAAGGUCAAAGCUUUCUGCAUGCUCAGCCAGUGUUCAUACAAGGACCAGAGGAAGGCCUUGCCACAUCCUAGAGUCUGACCUGGGAAAAUCUUUGUCACUCCUGUGGGUCUGAGGCAUUGGUGUCCUUGAUAUAACCAUGCUAAUGUCAGGAAAACACAUUUACCCAGGACUUCAUCAGCUCUCUACAGGUACCUUCACAGAUUCUUGGUUCUAAGCAUCCCAGAGUCUCACUCAGCAGAUAUCAUGGUCCAGUGUGUCUGGGGCUAUGCCAGAGUCAGUAUUAUUAGUUACUGUCUACAUAAUUUUGAUAUGAAAUAUGAUUCAGAAUAAUCUCAAUAAGAGAAUUGCCUAAACAAGACUCAUAUCAUGACAUUCCAGUUGAUAUGCCAGCAUGGAUGGGGGAGAACUCACAAGGUCUUACCCCUAGAUGAAGAGCUACAGGCAGGCCAUGGCUGCUGAGACAGAGAAGCAAUAUAGCUGCCCUCAGAGAUCAUCCAAUCCCCUUAAACACAUCUAUAUAUGAGCAACGUUAAAUGGACUCAAUUCUGUGUGUGUGUGUUGGUGAGACAGGAGUUGCUGGUGGGGGAGAGGGAAGAGUGAAAAUUAUUUAAACACAACAUGUAUAAAAUCCUCAAAAGCACUUUCAAUUAAUAAGAAUUUAAAAAUGAGUAUUGACCUCAAAUUAUGCUGCAGAAGUAAAGUGAGAAAGACAGCAUGGUCUUAAAACAGAGAGGUAGACCUAUGAGACAGAAGUCAGGCUCUAAAAAUAAACCAUAAAGCUAUGGGAACUCAAUUUUUGACAAAGUAACAAAAAUAUAUAGUGGAAGCCUAGUCAACAGAUGGAGCUGACAAAACUGGGCCCAACCUGUAGAAGGAUGAAACUAGAUGCACAUCUUUCACCCUAUAUAGAAAAUCAACUUGAAGUGGACCAAAGACAUCAAGUGAAAGCCAAAAGUCUGAAACUGCUAGAAGCAACCAGAGGACGUUCUUUAAGAUACUUGUUUGGGCAAGAAUUCUCUGAACAGAACUGCAAUAGCACAAACACUCGCCCCCAAGAGCCAACAGAUGGGGCUACAUAAAAUUAAAAAGUUUCUGUAUAGCAAAAGAAACUGUCAGCAGAGCGAAGAGCCCGCAGUGUGGUAAGACUCGUCACCAGCCAGGCUUCAGGCAGGAGCUAAGAUCCAGGAUCUACAGAGAAGCCCAGAAAUGAAACAGCCAAGAUAGAAAAGUGCCCAUCAAUCAAGGAGCUAGGGAAAUGGACUGUCCGAUUCUCAAAAGAAGAAACAAAUGGCCAGCAAGUCCUUACAAGUGUUCUCAACAUCCCCAGUCCCUGGAGAAAUGCAAAUUAAAAUUAUUUUGAGUUACCACUUCACCCCAGUCAGAAAGGCUAGCACCAAGAAAUCUAACAACACGUGUUAGAGCAGCUGUGGGAAAGAAGGAUCCUUAUACACUGAUGUGUGUGUGUGUGCGCGCGCGCGCGUGUGCGCAUGCACAUAAAUUGAUACAACCAUUCGGGAGAUCAGUGUGGAGGUUCCUCAGAAAAGUAAAAAUAGAUCUACCAUAUGACCCAGUUAUCUGACUACUGGGCAUACUCAAAAGACUAUAUCUUACUGCAGAAACACUUGCACACCCAUGGCUAUUACUGUUGCAUUUACAAUAGAAAGAGUGUCAGACCAGCCUAGAUGUCCAUGAACAGGUGAAUGUAUAGUGAAAGCAUUGGUACAGACUAACGGAUUAUUAUAGUCAGCUGUGGGAAAAAUGAAAUCGUGGGGGUUUUUAGGAAAGUGGGUGGAUGCGAAAGGCAUACUAUUAAACAAAGUGACACAAAUUGA